ensembl:lncRNA
ACAGAAUUAAUUUAACAGCUCAAUUCUAAGGAACUUUCAGUAAACAUUUUUUACUUCUCUGUCCAUUGAUGAAAGACGCAACAUGAGCAGGAAAUAUGUACUUGCAGCCCAGGAGGCCAACCUCAGAUGUAUCAAGAGAAGCAUGACCAGCAGGUCAAGGGAGGUGAUUCUGCUUCUCUACUCUGUCCUCAUUAGAUCCCACCUGGAGUCCUGCAUCCAGUUUUGGGGCCCCCAACACAAGAAGGACAUUGAGCUGAUGGAGCAGGUCCCAAAGAGGGCCUCAAAGAUGAUCAGAAGGCUGGAGCACCUCCCUUAUGAGGACAGACUGAGAGAGUUGGGGCUCUUCAGGCUAGAAAAGGGAAGGCACAGGGUAGACCUUAUAGCAGCCUACCAGUACCUGAAGGGGGUCUACAGGAAAGCAAGGGAGGGAAUUCUUAUAAGGGUAUGUAAUGACAUGAGAAGGCAAAAUAGUUUUAAAUUGAAGGAGUGUAGAUUUAGACUAGAUAUUAGGAAGAAAUUCUUUACUGUGAGUGUGGGGGACAGUGGAACAGGUUACUCAGGGUGGUUGUGGAUGCCCCCUCCCUAGACGCAUUCAAAGCCAGGCUGGAUGGGGCUCUAAUCAGUCUAGUGGGAGGUGUCCCUACCUAUAGCAGGGGGGGCUGAAACUAGAUAACCUUAAAUGUCCCUUUUAAUUCAAACCAUACUAUGGUUCUCUUAUUCUAUGAUUUUGUUUUAAAGUUCUUAAGUAUCUUUUUCAA